GAAUAUUGGACAAUGGGGGGAACCCUGAUCCAGCCAUGCCGCGUGUGUGAAGAAGGCCUUUUGGUUGUAAAGCACUUUAAGGGAGGAGGAGGCUAAUCUAGUUAAUACCUAGAGAUAGUGGACGUUACUCGCAGAAUCAGCACAGGCUAACUCUGUGCCAACAGCCGCGGUAAUACAGAGGGGGCAAACGUUAAUCGGAUUUACUGGGCGUAAAGCGCGCGUAGGUGGCCAAUUCAGUCAAAUGUGAAAUCCCCGAGCUUAACUUGGGAAUUGCAUUCGAUACUGGUUGGCUAGAGUAUGGGAGAGGAUGGUAGAAUUCCAGGUGUAGCGGUGAAAUGCGUAGAGAUCUGGAGGAAUACCGAUGGCGAAGGCAGCCAUCUGGCCUAAUACUGACACUGAGGUGCGAAAGCAUGGGGAGCAAAC
rnacentral:rRNA from 1 species